AUGGUUCCGUGUGCCUGAAAACUAAUACGAAUCCUGAAGUCAUCGUGCUUCCGAGCAAAACUGCGAAACUGCCGGGAGAACUAUUGAACGGAACAAAACUCUGCGUGAAGCACUUCUCUACAUAUAAGAACGUCACCUACGUUAAGCGUGAUUCUGACCUGCGUAGAUGCAAGUUACGGUGUCAGUUGGGACCCCGAAUUCAAAGACUCAAAGACGCCCUCGACGGGACUCCUUGCGACAGUACUCACCCGCAAAUGAAAUGCAAGGAAGGAGUCUGCAAGCAAUGGUGACAGACGACUGCCUUAAGUGGUGUAAUUCUGGUGCUGUGGUAAAGGCCCACGCCACGUCUGUUGAUCAAAACCUAAUACGGACAUACGGGUUAACGGAAAUGAAUAUUGCUCGCCCCCGAACCCGUACUCUCACCUUCUCGUCUUUUUUUUUUCACUCACCACCGUAGACUGGAACAGCCUUCCCCACGUCAUCGUGGCCAUCACCAAUCCACACGCCUUCACUGACGCUGUCAGAG